rnacentral:rRNA from 1 species
CCUACGGGCGGCAGCAGUGGGGAAUAUUGGACAAUGGGGGGAACCCUGAUCCAGCCAUGCCGCGUGUGUGAAGAAGGCCCUCGGGUUGUAAAGCACUUUCAGUGAGGAAGAACGCCUGGUGGUUAAUACCCAUCAGGAAAGACAUCACUCACAGAAGAAGCACCGGCUAACUCCGUGCCAGCAGCCGCGGUAAUACGGAGGGUGCGAGCGUUAAUCGGAAUUACUGGGCGUAAAGCGCGCGUAGGUGGCUUGAUAAGCCGGUUGUGAAAGCCCCGGGCUCAACCUGGGAACGGCAUCCGGAACUGUCAAGCUAGAGUGCAGGAGAGGAAGGUAGAAUUCCCGGUGUAGCGGUGAAAUGCGUAGAGAUCGGGAGGAAUACCAGUGGCGAAGGCGGCCUUCUGGACUGACACUGACAUUGAGGUGCGAAAGCGUGGGUAGCAAACAGGAUUAGAUACCCUAGUAGUC